rnacentral:pre_miRNA from 1 species
GGCCCAAAUUUGAAGUAGAUUCGAUAGGUACGAUCAUCUGACCAUACUAAUGGACUCUACAUCAAGUUUGUGCCC